AAAUACUCUCUAGUGACCGAUAGUGAACCAGUACCGUGAGGGAAAGGUGAAAAGUACCCCGGAAGGGGAGUGAAAGAGAACUUGAAACCGUGUGCUUACAAGUAGUCAGAGCCCGUUAAUGGGUGAUGGCGUGCCUUUUGUAGAAUGAACCGGCGAGUUACGAUCUGAUGCAAGGUUAAGCAGAAAAUGUGGAGCCGUAGCGAAAGCGAGUCUGAAUAGGGCGAAUGAGUAUUUGGUCGUAGACCCGAAACCAGGUGAUCUACCCUUGGUCAGGUUGAAGUUCAGGUAACACUGAAUGGAGGACCGAACCGACUUACGUUGAAAAGUGAGCGGAUGAACUGAGGGUAGCGGAGAAAUUCCAAUCGAACUUGGAGAUAGCUGGUUCUCUCCGAAAUAGCUUUAGGGCUAGCCUCAAGUGAUGAUUAUUGGAGGUAGAGCACUGUUUGGACGAGGGGCCCCUCUCGGGUUACCGAAUUCAGACAAACUCCGAAUGCCAAAUAAUUUAACUUGGGAGUCAGAAUGUGGGUGAUAAGGUCCAUAUUCGAAAGGGAAACAGCCCAGACCACCAGCUAAGGUCCCAAAAUAUAUGUUAAGUGGAAAAGGAUGUGGCGUUGCCCAGACAACUAGGAUGUUGGCUUAGAAGCAGCCAUCAUUUAAAGAGUGCGUAA
rnacentral:rRNA from 1 species